AGCCUGAACGCUGGCGGCGUGGCUAAGACAUGCAAGUCGUACGGGCUGCCGCAAGGCAGUCAGUGGCGGACGGGUGAGUAAUGAAUCGCUAACGUGCCCCGGACUCGGGGAUAGCCAUCCGAAAGGGUGGGUAAUACCCGAUGAGACCCCGGCCAGGCAUCUGGCCGAGCUCAAAGGCGUAAGCC
rnacentral:rRNA from 1 species